rnacentral:lncRNA from 1 species
GGCUAUGUACUAGGCGAUAAGUUUUUCUUUUAGGAAAAGUUUGUGUAGCGAUAGGUGGGUCCGGUUUUGGGAUGGUUGGUUCUCUUCAUCGCUAUCACUAUCGCUGCCUCUUCCUUCUUCCGUUCCCAGCGGCGCUCGCCCUUCCUCCUGCCAUCUGUGACCCGAACCCGCUGUGGCGCGCCCUUCACAGGAGGAGCCAGAGCCCAUCUAGAUGUAGUAGCCCAACCCAAUACAUGACGAGGUGCUUCAUGGAGCAAAGUGACGGGAGCGAUCGAUCUAGAUCAAUCGAUUUGGUCGUUCCCCAAUUCCCCACUGCUGCCAAUCCCUAGCGCCACCGCCGGACGCCUCCUCCAAUCAUGUGUAUCUCCUGCACCUCCUGCCGCCGGUGUUAAUCAUCUACAUACCUGGGCAUGUUCACCGCCGUUCUGGACUGAGCGUCGUCGUUGUUCCACAGGUAUGGUUUCCACUGUUGUUCAUUCCAUAUUGCCCAGCCAUUCCCCACCACCAUUUUUCUUGAUUCAACUUUUUGAUUCACGGUGGCUGGCCAUGUGCGCAGGAGGCGAUGGAAGGGUGGGAGGAUGUUGCAUGGACGGAAGAUAUAUUCCCCAUGCCAUCUGACGCAGGAGAAGUGAUGGACCUAGAAAACCUGGUGGACACCCUCUCCCAGAUGCCCGACGAGACCCCAUGGUGCUCGAUGGUGAGCCGGACAAAUUCAGCGGUGGUGCCGACUGCCAAGGAUGCACGAGAGGUACACUAGUGAGGUUGUUGGACCAGAACGAUGGUAGCAGCUCAGCGGGCUUUUCUGGCUACAAGAGGAGGUAAUCCAAAGAAAUAUAUGUCCCAGCCGAUUUCUUUUUUCCCUUAUCUUGUACUGAUCAUCUAUGUACGUGUACAUAAAACUGAACCGAUGUAUGUAAGGACAGUUCUUGUCGGUGUUAAUCGGUACUACUUUUCUUUCAUGUGUUUUAAUCAUCUCUGUAGUAUGUACUUCUGCACAAAACCCUAC